rnacentral:rRNA from 1 species
GAUGAACGCUGGCGGCGUGCCUAAUACAUGCAAGUCGAGCGAAUGGAUUAAGAGCUUGCUCUUAUGAAGUUAGCGGCGGACGGGUGAGUAACACGUGGGUAACCUGCCCAUAAGACUGGGAUAACUCCGGGAAACCGGGGCUAAUACCGGAUAACAUUUUGAACCGCAUGGUUCGAAAUUGAAAGGCGGCUUCGGCUGUAACUUAUGGAUGGACCCGCGUCGCAUUAGCUAGUUGGUGAAGUAACGGCUCACCAAGGCAAAGAUGCGUAGCCGACCUGAGAGGGUGAUCGGCCACACUGGGACUGAGACACGGCCCAGACUCCUACGGGAGGCAGCAGUAGGGAAUCUUCCGCAAUGGACGAAAGUCUGACGGAGCAACGCCGCGUGAGUGAUGAAGGCUUUCGGGUCGUAAAACUCUGUUGUUAGGGAAGAACAAGUGCUAGUUGAAUAAGCUGGCACCUUGACGGUACCUAACCAGAAAGCCACGGCUAACUACGUGCCAGCCGCCGCGGUAA